rnacentral:lncRNA from 1 species
CCUUAUCCAAUUCCCCGGACCCCAAUCCACACCGUGACUCCUGCUCCCGAGUCCGCACGCCGCCGCCCGCCGCCCGCGCGCCGCCGCCCGCACGCCCGCACGAUGCAGAUGCUCCCACUCGCCCGCAAACUACAGCCGCGGCCUGUGCUGCAAGUAUUCCAGAUCAUGAGAUUGAGGCCUGCAGGCAUAGCAGAUCGGCACGGCGUGGGCAGAUCUACGCGAGGUGGCGAAGGGGCUGCUGCGAGCCUGCCCUGCGGGCAGCGGAUCCGGCCACCAGCACGCAUGGUCUGAGAGGCAAGAAGCGGCACAUGGGGGAGGCGGCGUACCGUGCAUCAGAGAGAAGAGGCAGGGAGGCGGAUCCACACUGCAUUCCUUGAAAUUGGUGGCUCUGACUAACCCGAGGUAAAAGCCUACCCAUCCCAGCCUGUGCGGCUGUGCGUGAUUUAAGUUGCAUGUGUUUGAAUUGUUGCUGGUAAAAUCCCUGAGUGUCCGCCGAUUUGUACUAGUCUGGAGGUGAAUCGCUGUAGCGUAUGUAGUGUUGGUCCAUCAGGUCACAGAUCCUUGUGAAAACCCCAUAUAUUUUCUGAUUGUAGUGGAUUUCUAUGGAUUUAGAUCACUGGUGAAUUGCUGCUUGCUUUCCUGUCCUGAUGAUAUCCUUAUCUGUAAUGGCAUAUAGGCUGCAUUGGUUCCACAAGAUAUUUCUCAUCAUCAUUUGCUUGGCUAGUUAUGUAGAUUGUGAAAUCGCUGAACCUGGAUCUCUUGUAACCUUUAUUGUGGAUAUUUUUUGCUAAUAAACAGCUGAAAUCAGUGAUAGCCAUUUUCUUCCCCGCACUGUUCCAAAGUUGGUACAGAAAGCAGGGAAGAAGCCUUGAAUUAUGUAUAAUAAAGUUCUUCUUCUUCCGAUGAUCUCUUGAUAAGGUAUUUUUUUCACUCUCAUUUCAGUCUAAUUUUACAUUUGCUUGUUAUGAUAAACGUUUAAAUUGCGGCAUGCAUUUUUUUAGCUCGUUGUCGGCAAUACCUUGAUUUUGUCGCGUCCUCCGCCACUGCCCAUAAGAAUGUAC